rnacentral:rRNA from 1 species
UAGGGAAUCUUCCGCAAUGGGCGAAAGCCUGACGGAGCAACGCCGCGUGAGUGAUGAAGGUCUUCGGAUCGUAAAACUCUGUUAUUAGGGAAGAACAAAUGUGUAAGUAACUAUGCACGUCUUGACGGUACCUAAUCAGAAAGCCACGGCUAACUACGUGCCAGCAGCCGCGGUAAUACGUAGGUGGCAAGCGUUAUCCGGAAAUAUUGGGCGUAAAGCGCGCGUAGGCGGUUUUUUAAGUCUGAUGUGAAAGCCCACGGCUCAACCGUGGAGGGUCAUUGGAAACUGGAAAACUUGAGUGCAGAAGAGGAAAGUGGAAUUCCAUGUGUAGCGGUGAAAUGCGCAGAGAUAUGGAGGAACACCAGUGGCGAAGGCGACUUUCUGGUCUGUAACUGACGCUGAUGUGCGAAAGCGUGGGGAUCAAACAGG